AGUGGACGCUGGCGGUAGGCCUAACACAUGCAAGUCGAACGGCAGCACAGUAAGAGCUUGCUCUUACGGGUGGCGAGUGGCGGACGGGUGAGGAAUACAUCGGAAUCUACUUUUUCGUGGGGGAUAACGUAGGGAAACUUACGCUAAUACCGCAUACGACCUACGGGUGAAAGCAGGGGAUCUUCUGACCUUGCGCGAUUGAAUGAGCCGAUGUCGGAUUAGCUAGUUGGCGGGGUAAAGGCCCACCAAGGCGACGAUCCGUAGCUGGUCUGAGAGGAUGAUCAGCCACACUGGAACUGAGACACGGUCCAGACUCCUACGGGAGGCAGCAGUGGGGAAUAUUGGACAAUGGGCGCAAGCCUGAUCCAGCCAUACCGCGUGGGUGAAGAAGGCCUUCGGGUUGUAAAGCCCUUUUGUUGGGAAAGAAAAGCAGCAGGUUAAUACCCCGCUGUUCUGACGGUACCCAAAGAAUAAGCACCGGCUAACUUCGUG
rnacentral:rRNA from 1 species